rnacentral:rRNA from 1 species
AGUGAACGCUGGCGGUAGGCCUAACACAUGCAAGUCGAACGGCAGCACAGUAAGAGCUUGCUCUUACGGGUGGCGAGUGGCGGACGGGUGAGGAAUACAUCGGAAUCUACUUUUUCGUGGGGGAUAACGUAGGGAAACUUACGCUAAUACCGCAUACGACCUACGGGUGAAAGCAGGGGAUCUUCGGACCUUGCGCGAUUGAAUGAGCCGAUGUCGGGUUAGCUAGUUGGCGGGGUAAAGGCCCACCAAGGCGACGAUCCGUAGCUGGUCUGAGAGGAUGAUCAGCCACACUGGAACUGAGACACGGUCCAGACUCCUACGGGAGGCAGCAGUGGGGAAUAUUGGACAAUGGGCGAAAGCCUGAUCCAGCCAUACCGCGUGGGUGAAGAAGGCCUUCGGGUUGUAAAGCCCUUUUGUUGGGAAAGAAAAGCAGCAGGUUAAUACCCCGCUGUUCUGACGGUACCCAAAGAAUAAGCACCGGCUAACUUCGUG